AGACACGGAAUUUAGCAUUGACGAAGAUACCGGGGACAUUAAAGUAUCCGCUAGUUUAAGCUAUAAAACAAAAUCAGAAUAUGACAUAACUGUCACAGCAACCGACAAUGGAACUCCAUCAAAGAGUGCAACUCAACAAGUCAAGUUUACCCUCCUCGCCGAGCCGGAGUUUACCAAUCUCGCAGUAGCUAAAUCUAAAGCUAUAGAUGAAAAUUUGCCAUGCUGAUGCAAUCUGUGUUUGCGAUUCGCCGUCUCUGACUUAGACAAUACUUGGGAUAGGAACUGUAUCCAUUGUCAGUCAAACGCCACAUGAGAUGUUUAAAAUGAAUGGAGCCUAUACUGCAGACAAAGACAGAUGGUCUAGAUGCAGAGACUGCAACAGCAUAUGUACUGAAGUUCAAGGUGACGGAUGGUUCAUUUGUUGUUGAGAGUGCAAACUUGACCGUAAACAUUUUGGAUCUUAAUGACAAUCCACCUGUCAUUUCUACGGUGCUUCCUGUCUCUAUACGUGAAAACAUGACCAUAGGUUCGGUUGUUUAUGAUGUACAAGCAACAGAUGAAGACGUCACUACCCAAAAUAAUGUGCUUUCCUACUCAAUCAUAGCAGGGAACGAUGACAAAGUGUUCGCAAUAGAUGCAGACAACGGAUCUAUAAGCUUAGAUAAAACGUUGAGUGAAGAAACAUACAAUUUGAAAGUGAUGGUAUCAGACAGCGGUAGUACUGCUCUUAACGGCAACAACUAAUGUAUCAAUUUACGUUGACGCCAAUGUGAUUGACGAGUGCUCAUCCAGCCCAUGUCAGAAUGGAGGCACCUGCUCAUCAUCGGUGAAUGUCUAUACAUGUCAGUGUGUACCUGGAUAUAUUGGCACUAACUGCGAAACAAAUAAAGAUGAAUGUGACCCACAGCCGUGUAUGAAUAAUGGAAUUUGCACAGAUGCUGUCAACUUUUUCAGUUGUAAUUGCACGGAAGGCUGGAAUGGAACUACGUGCACAGAUGUCUGUACAAGCAAUACAUAUGGCCGUAACUGUAAGGAACAAUGCAACUGUAAUACGUCAAGACUUAUACCAAACGUCGACAACCAGCAGUGUGACAUCAAGACAGGGGCAUGCAAGUGUAAUGAAAACUGGGUUGGUUAUUCAUGUGAAGACAAGGAUGAGUGUGUU
rnacentral:lncRNA from 1 species